GACGAACGCUGGCGGCGUGCUUAACACAUGCAAGUCGAACGGAAAGGCCCUGCUUUUGUGGGGUGCUCGAGUGGCGAACGGGUGAGUAACACGUGAGUAACCUGCCCUUGACUUUGGGAUAACUUCAGGAAACUGGGGCUAAUACCGGAUAGGAGCUCCUGCUGCAUGGUGGGGGUUGGAAAGUUUCGGCGGUUGGGGAUGGACUCGCGGCUUAUCGGCUUGUUGGUGGGGGAGUGGCUUACCAAGGCUUUGACGGGUAGCCGGCCUGAGAGGGUGACCGGCCACAUUGGGACUGAGAUACGGCCCAGACUCCUACGGGAGGCAGCAGUGGGGAAUAUUGCACAAUGGGCGGAAGCCUGAUGCAGCAACGCCGCGUGCGGGAUGACGGCCUUCGGGUUGUAAACCGCUUUCGCCUGUGACGAAGCGUGAGUGACGGUAAUGGGUAAAGAAGCACCGGCUAACUACGUG
rnacentral:rRNA from 1 species